rnacentral:rRNA from 1 species
GAGUAUGCGUCUGAUUAGCUAGUUGGUGAGGUACGGCUCACCAAGGCGACGAUCAGUAGGGGACCUGAGAGGACUAACCCCCACACUGGUACUGAGACACGGACCAGACUCCUACGGGAGGCAGCAGUAAGGAAUAUUGGUCAAUGGAGGCAACUCUGAACCAGCCAUGCCGCGUGCAGGAUGACGGCCCUAUGGGUUGUAAACUGCUUUUAUACAAGAGAAAACCCUGGUACGUGUACCAAGUUGAUAGUAUUGUAAGAAUAAGCAUCGGCUAACUUCGUG